UUAGAAAUUGACAGAAGAGAG
rnacentral:miRNA from 1 species